AGGUCAUGAUGUGGGCAAUUAGCAGGCUCUUGUACCUCUCCCAAGCUUCAUAUAGUGACUAUCCAGCUUGUUGUUCAAAGUUAGAUAUGGCUUUCUUUAGCUU